GAACUGACUAUGCCCUUGUGUUUUAAUGAAAGACUUGCAACUGCGGUACCCUGUUGAUUUGCUUAUUGAAUUUUGCGUCUAUCGGUUGUCGAUGAAUUUAUGUGUGGUGCAUUUGUGAAGUUCUUUUGUAAGUUCAUGGCUUUGUUUUACUCCAUAGUAUUCUUUUCUAAAGGAAUUACUCAAGAGAUGGUGGUGAUGUCUUGGUUUAUGCACUUCGCGUGGUUCUUAUGUAAUGCUUCAAUUAGACUCCAGUGUACCUGAGAUGUGUCAAAGUGCAGAUUCUUCAUCUGUUCAUAUUCUGUCUUGAGAUUCUGGUUAACUUUUGAGAUGGAAUUUGAUUGUUGCUCCAUGCUAGAGAUGAUGGAAUCUUAAUUUCGACAGGUAGUUUGUAGAAAAAUCAUAAGGAUCAACCAUAAACCUGAGGCCGAGCGGAUUAUUAAAAAAGAAAAAGAAAAAAAAAGAUGGAUGACAAAAGCUUAACUGACAGAGAGAGGGAGAGAGAAGGACAACUAGACAGUAACGAUAGAAAAGCUAAGAAUUGCAGAAAGAUGCAAUUUGGGCGAGCUGUCUCUUGUGAAGAUUCUGCCCAUUGUGUCAUUUCUGAGCUUAUAAUGGAAUAAAGAGUUUCACCUUUGCAUAUUCAGUCAAUUCUGUUUGCCCUUACUUUUGUUCUCUUCACAAAUUUCCCCUUUUCAUGUCGUGCAUGAUUACUGAUUGCUAUUCAUAUAUUUUAAAGUGGCUUCUGCUUUUAUGAGCAAUCACAGGUGUGAAUGAAGGACACGUUUAUGUAUAUAGAACAGGUGGACAUGUAGGACAAUAACAAUUUUCAUUUGGAGGAG